rnacentral:rRNA from 1 species
AUGCUUGGGUUAAGUAGGAACGGGCGCGCGCCGGGCAUUACCGGAAACGGACGUCGCCGACGGCACCGACGGCUGUGGCGCGGGCGCCGGGAGCUGCAGCAGUGGCGGAGGCUGAGGGUGAAGACGAUGAUGCUUCUGCUGCUGCUGCUGCUGCUGGUUGAGGAGAGGCUUCGGCGGGGAGGGUGGCGGUGGUGGUGGUGGAGGAGGGGGCGGCAGGGCGAGCGGGGCUGGAGCCGCGGGCGCGAUCGCGGCGCCGCCCCGGCGCGCGGCGCGGCGGGAGAGCACGUCGAGGAGCGCGUCGUAGACCUCCGGGGCGAGGUUGGUUGGCAGGUUGCGCUCCUUGCGGUCGUGCCGUUCCAUGGUCCAGUAGGACGGGAGCGGCGUCGGCGGCUGUGCCGGGGCGCCGUCCACGGGAGGGGUGGCGGCGAUGGAGGCGCGGCGGGCCUCGUAGUCGCGGACCUUCUUGUAGUCGCGGAGGAGGUUGUCCCACUUGUCGUUGCACUGGUUCUGGCUGCGGAGGCAGCCGUUGAUCCAGCAGUAGUUCUCGACCCACUUCCAGCGCUGCUCGGCGGAGCGUGGCGUGGGCGGCGAGGACGGCCCCGCCAUGGCCACGCCGCCCGCGCCCCCACCGGCCCGGCGGUCGUCGUCGAGGCGCUUGGCGGUGAUGAGGAUGAGCGUCUCGUGCAUCGUCCAGUUGCCCUUGCGGUAGUCCCUGGGCGCGGACGCCGGGGAGGGGGGCGGCGCCGCGGGCGGGUACGCGUGCGGCGGCGGCGUGGAGAGGUGCAGGUGGUGGUGGGGGUGGUGCGGGUGCGCGUGGUAGGCGGCGAGCGGGGACGCCGACGCCGCCGCGGCCGCCGAGGAGGACGGCGAGGGGUCCGACGACGCCGACAUGGCGAGCUACAGAGCUACUAG